GCUGCCUGCCGUCCGCUCAUCCGCAGCAGGACAGAGCUCGCAGCAGGUGCCAGGCUGUGGAGGAACCCCCUUGUUGCUCUAAAGAACACUCUUUGCUGAAGAAACCUGAAGAGUCCUUUGAGGAACUGACUUGUUUUCAUCUUUUCAUUAAUGACAGUAAGACCUAAGUAACUGGUUUUGUUUCCUUUUUUCUC
rnacentral:lncRNA from 1 species